AGAGUUUGAUCCUGGCUCAGGGUGAACGCUGGCGGCGUGCUUGACACAUGCAAGUCGAACGGUAUGUGGCAACACAUAGAGUGGCGAACGGGUGAGUAACACGUGGGAACGUAUCUUUUGCAGGGGGAUAACUGACCGAAAGGACAGCUAAUACCGCAUAAGUCCGGGAGGAGAAAGGUGCAACAGCAUCGGCAGAAGAGCGGCCCGCGGUCCAUCAGCUAGUUGGUGAGGUAAGGGCUUACCAAGGCGACGACGGAUAGCCGGCGUGAGAGCGUGGCCGGCCACAAGGACACUGAGAUACGGGUCCUACUCCUACGGGAAACAGCAGUGCGGAAUUUUAGAUAAUGGAGGGAACUCUGAUCUAGCGACGCCGCGUGCAGGAAGAAGGUCUUCGGAUUGUAAACUGCUGUGGUAAGGGAAAAAUGCUAUGUAGAGUGGAAAGCUACAUAGAGGGAUGGUACCUUACUAGAAAGCCCCGGCUAACUACGUACCAGCAGCCGCGGUAAUACGUAGGGGGCGAGCGUUACCCGGAAUCACUGGGCGUAAAGGGAGCGUAGGUGGCCUAACAUGUCAACUGUGAAAACCCGGAGCUCAACUCCGGACUUGCAGUUGAAACUGGUAGGCUUGAGGACGGUAGAGGAAGACGGAACUGCCAGUGUAGGGGUAAAAUCCUUAGAUAUUGGCAGGAACGCCGGUGACGAAGGUGGUUUUCUGGGCCGGUUCUGACACUGAUGCUCGAAAGCCAGGGGAGCGAACGGGAUUAGAUACCCCGGUAGUCCUGGCCCUAAACGAUGUUCACUAGGUGUGGGGAGCGGAAAGCUCUCCGUGCUAAAGCUAACGCGAUAAGUGAACCGCCUGGGGAGUACGCCCGCAAGGGUGAAACUCAAAUGAAUUGACGG
rnacentral:rRNA from 1 species